AACCGCCGUAUGCGGAACCGCACGUAUGGUGGUGUGAGAGGGCGGCGGAAGUAAUUCCGUCCCCUACUCGAU
rnacentral:ncRNA from 1 species